GGUGGUUCUUGGGUUACACAAUCCUGGAAUUGGGCUCCCUCCUCUGGUUCCAGAUGCAUCACCCGAGAACUGCA
rfam:Myotis brandtii contig56251, whole genome shotgun sequence.